GACGAACGCUGGCGGCGUGCUUAACACAUGCAAGUCGAACGGAAAGGCCCUGCUUUUGUGGGGUGCUCGAGUGGCGAACGGGUGAGUAACACGUGAGUAACCUGCCCUUGACUUUGGGAUAACUUCAGGAAACUGGGGCUAAUACCGGAUAGGAGCUCCUGCUGCAUGGUGGGGGUUGGAAAGUUUCGGCGGUUGGGGAUGGACUCGCGGCUUAUCAGCUUGUUGGUGGGGUAGUGGCUUACCAAGGCUUUGACGGGUAGCCGGCCUGAGAGGGUGACCGGCCACAUUGGGACUGAGAUACGGCCCAGACUCCUACGGGAGGCAGCAGUGGGGAAUAUUGCACAAUGGGCGGAAGCCUGAUGCAGCAACGCCGCGUGCGGGAUGACGGCCUUCGGGUUGUAAACCGCUUUCGCCUGUGACGAAGCGUGAGUGACGGUAAUAGGUAAAGAAGCACCGGCUAACUACGUGCCAGCAGCCGCGGUGAUACGUAGGGUGCGAGCGUUGUCCGGAUUUAUUGGGCGUAAAGGGCUCGUAGGUGGUUGAUCGCGUCGGAAGUGUAAUCUUGGGGCUUAACCCUGAGCGUGCUUUCGAUACGGGUUGACUUGAGGAAAGUAGGGGAGAAUGGAAUUCCUGGUGGAGCGGUGGAAUGCGCAGAUAUCAGGAGGAACACCAGUGGCGAAGGCGGUUCUCUGGGCCUUUCCUGACGCUGAGGAGCGAAAGCGUGGGGAGCGAACAGGCUUAGAUACCCUGGUAGUCCACGCUGUAAACGGUGGGUACUAGGUGUGGGGUCCAUUCCACGGGUUCCGUGCCGUAGCUAACGCUUUAAGUACCCCGCCUGGGGAGUACGGCCGCAAGGCUAAAACUCAAAGGAAUUGACGGGGCCCCGCACAAGCGGCGGAGCAUGCGGAUUAAUUCGAUGCAACGCGUAGAACCUUACCUGGGUUUGACAUGGAUCGGGAGCGCUCAGAGAUGGGUGUGCCUCUUUUGGGGUCGGUUCACAGGUGGUGCAUGGCUGUCGUCAGCUCGUGUCGUGAGAUGUUGGGUUAAGUCCCGCAACGAGCGCAACCCUUGUUCACUGUUGCCAGCACGUUAUGGUGGGGACUCAGUGGAGACCGCCGGGGUCAACUCGGAGGAAGGUGGGGAUGACGUCAAGUCAUCAUGCCCCUUAUGUCCAGGGCUUCACGCAUGCUACAAUGGCUGGUACAGAGAGUGGCGAGCCUGUGAGGGUGAGCGAAUCUCGGAAAGCCGGUCUCAGUUCGGAUUGGGGUCUGCAACUCGACCUCAUGAAGUCGGAGUCGCUAGUAAUCGCAGAUCAGCAACGCUGCGGUGAAUACGUUCCCGGGGCU
rnacentral:rRNA from 1 species